rnacentral:rRNA from 1 species
ACGGAAGGCAGCAGUGGGGAAUAUUGCACAAUGGGGGAAACCCAGAUGCAGCGACGCCGCGUGAGUGAAGAAGUAUUUCGGUAUGUAAAGCUCUAUCAGCAGGGAAGAAAAUGACGGUACCUGACUAAGAAGCCCCGGCUAACUACGUGCCAGCAGCCGCGGUAAUACGUAGGGGGCAAGCGUUAUCCGGAUUUACUGGGUGUAAAGGGAGCGUAGACGGCGAUGCAAGUCUGAUGUGAAAGCCCGGGGCUCAACCCCGGCACUGCAUUGGAAACUGUGUUGCUAGAGUGCAGGAGAGGUAAGUGGAAUUCCUAGUGUAGCGGUGAAAUGCGUAGAUAUUAGGAGGAACACCAGUGGCGAAGGCGGCUUACUGGACUGUAACUGACGUUGAGGCUCGAAAGCGUGGGGAGCAAACAGGAUUAGAUACCCUGGUA